rnacentral:lncRNA from 1 species
UGUAGCUGCCACUGACUGCUCAUCAAUGUGAGAAGCUUUCCAGAUCAGUUAAAAUCAGCUUCAAGAUGACCAAAUGGCCCACUCAAUAGCUAUAAGGACGAGAGCUAUACUGGACACAUCAGACAAAAAAAUAUCUUUAGUUACGUUCCUUGUUUCCCCCUGGAUAGUGUGGAUAUAAAAACUGUGUCUCGAGCUUGUUUCCAUAGCAGAUACUACUGUGAAGCUUCACACUCGCCUUGUGUCCUUGGCCCCUGUUAAUUCUGCGCACUGGCCCACACCUGUGAAGAUGAUGCGAGCCAAGGCCCUGUAAGUCCUCCGAGUACGGAUGAAUCCUCCAUUCAUUCUGCUUUCCACUCGGAGAAUGACGGACAGAGGUGAGCUCAAACGGAGUCUCGAAGGA